rnacentral:rRNA from 1 species
UNGGGAGCUCUCCCNUAUGGUCGACCUGCAGGCGGCCGCGAAUUCACUAGUGAUUAGAGUUUGAUCCUGGCUCAGAUUGAACGCUGGCGGCGUGCUUAACACAUGCAAGUCGAACGUGAAAGUCCUUCGGGGCGAGUAAAGUGGCGCACGGGUGAGUAACGCGUGGAUAAUCUACCCUUAAGAUGGGGAUAACGGCUGGAAACGGUCGCUAAUACCGAAUACGCUCCCGAUUUUAUCAUUGGGGGGAAAGAUGGCCUCUGCUUGCAAGCUAUCGCUUAAGGAUGAGUCCGCGUCCCAUUAGCUAGUUGGCGGGGUAACGGCCCACCAAGGCAACGAUGGGUAGCCGGUCUGAGAGGAUGACCGGCCACACUGGAACUGGAACACGGUCCAGACUCCUACGGGAGGCAGCAGUGGGGAAUAUUGCGCAAUGGGCGAAAGCCUGACGCAGCGACGCCGCGUGAGGGAUGAAGGUUCUCGGAUCGUAAACCUCUGUCAGGGGGGAAGAAACCCCCUCGUGUGAAUAAUGCGAGGGCUUGACGGUACCCCCAAAGGAAGCACCGGCUAACUCCGUGCCAACAGCCGCGGUAAUACGGAGGGUGCAAGCGUUAAUCGGAAUCACUGGGCGUAAAGCGCACGUAGGCGGCUUGGUAAGUCAGGGGUGAAAUCCCACAGCCCAACUGUGGAACUGCCUUUGAUACUGCCAGGCUUGAGUACCGGAGAGGGUGGCGGAAUUCCAGGUGUAGGAGUGAAAUCCGUAGAUAUCCGGAGGAACACCGGUGGCGAANGCGGCCACCUGGACGGUAACUGACGCUGANGUGCGAAAGCGUGGGUAGCAAACAGGAUUAGAUACCCUNNAGUCCACGCUGUAAACGAUGGGUGCUGGGUGCUGGGAUGUAUGUCUCGGUGCCGUAGCUAACGCGAUAAGCACCCCGCCUGGGGAGUACGGUCGCAAGGCUGAAACUCAAGAAAUUGACGGGGGCCCGCANA